AGCACCUAGAGUCCUUGAGUGUCACCAAGCACCAAGUUUGCUCGAGGUGGUGUUUGCCUCUCUUUGGAAUUUUUCAUAAUACAAGUGUAUGAAAAACUCAGAAGACUUGUUGUUUGAAUGUGAAUGAUGUUCGUGAGCAGACGAAGAGACUCUUGGACAACAAGGAGAUUGUAUUUUUCUUGGGAUUUUACAAAGAAAAACUGUUUGAAUGCAAGGGAAGUGUUUUGUGUCCCUUUUGAAAUCUUUGUUGAUUGGCUUGAUUCCAAUUUUUAAAAUGUUUUCUUAUGAAAUUUCCAGGCCUGGCUCUAAUAUUAGUGUGAAAUAAGUAAAAUUGUGCAUCCUGGGCAAAGCCAAAGAAAGUGGUCAGGUUAAAACCACCUGGUGAAACAAGACAUAUCAUUUCAUUGAUUCGAUACGGAGUCAGGGUUAGCAAGAGUUUUACCUGUGGAAAAUUGUGUGGAGGUGGCGCACUACCAGUCUGCUUAGCUAGCUGCUUCCUUGCGGGAACCUCUCUGCUGGUGCAAAGUACGUUAUGCUGCAAGAAAAACACUUGCUCACCUUCAAAUUCUUCAUUGGGAUUAAAUUCAGGACUGCAAAAUUACAGAUAAAUCUUAAACUCCAUCUUUGGCCUGCUUCAAACGAAUAUGAUGAAUUGGACUUGGAGUCAGUGUCUGGAUCAUUCGUCAAGGAUUGACAUCUUUCGCUAGGUGUUGAAGUUUCUAGAGCUGAUUGAAGAUUGAUAAAUCAUUAGUUUCUCUUCAUCAAAACAGUCACUUUAAGUUACAGAAAAGGCUUGUAAAUAACUCACGCAAGAACUUUUCUGGUGGCUCUUCCAUGUCACAAUCGUUUGUUGUUGUUGCUGCUCCUAACAAUCCUCUUAUCCUGUAAAGUAAAUUUUGUAUUGGUUAAGUUAUUGCUACAGUUGAAUCACAAGCAGAAUCAUUAGCAGCAUUAGGCUACAACUAAUAAUUGAUGAUUCUAAUCUUAUUGAUUUAACACCCUAUUUUUCAAUCAAAAUGAAGACUCUUAGUAGAUUUGAAGUGUGAACAGAUUCAGAAUAGAUUUAUACUUUUACUGCACAGUCAUUAUUGUAAGUGUGUUUUUAUAAAAAGAAGUGUGGUGAUUACAAAAUAAAAUUGGCACUGUCUUGUGGCAGCAUCGGCAGGAUUAUAGAUGCCUUGUGUCUUGUA